rnacentral:lncRNA from 10 species
GGAAUAUCUCAAGGUUUUAUUCACCUGGAAAAAAUUUCUACUCACCCUUAAAGAAUCAGCUUAAAUAGCGUUUCUCACCUCUGGAGGACUCAGCAUUCAAGGUGCCAUCUUGGAAGCAGAGAGCAGCCCUCACUAGACUACAAACCUGCUGGCGCUUUGAUCUUGGACUUCCCACCCACCAGAACUCUCUCCACUCCCUUCCUAGACUUUCUUCAUAGAGCCAGAAGAGGGUACCUGAAUUGGCCUGGACUGCUCAGCCUGUACGGUUCUGGGAGUGGGGUGGGGUGGAUGGAGUGAACUCAGCAGGCACCCCCAGCUCUGCUCUCCUGUGGUGUGACUGGAUCUCCAGGAGGGACUUCGACUUUUCCAGGUCUUAGCACUGAAGAUGCUUUGGUGCUUCUGCACAGGGGAGAAAAUUCAAAAUAAAAACAAAACCAUAAACCAUGCAAUACAACUUU